rnacentral:lncRNA from 1 species
UCUCCCCUAGGGUCAAUGGUUAUGUAUCCGCACCAGAGGAGGAUGUGUCUCCUGGGUGCACAGCAAGCCAGUAAAAAACUGACAUAGAGCUUUUGCAGUGAAGAAGGAAGGAUAGGCUGUUUAUAGGUAUGACACCACUUAGGAGAAUGGGGACCGCAUGCUCUGAGUGCCAAACUGCCCAAUGGCUUACAGGUGAGGGUUUUGGUUUUUGUUUUAAGUAGGCACAAUGCCCAGUGUGGGGCUUGAACUUAGGACCCUGAGAUCAAGAGUCGUGGGUUCUACUGACUGAGCCAGCCAGGCACCCCCCACCCCCACCCAAGUGAGGGUUUUUAAGGGCGAAAUUUGGGGCAGGAGGCCCCUGAGAGCUGUAGAUUGGAGGUGAAGUCGUUAACACGUGUUACUUAGUUAUUUCUGCUGCCCCUUGGUGUGGUCUCAAGGGACUGUGUUUUAUGUUGAGAGACUUGGAAUCUGAAAAAUAUCUCUAUUUCUUAUGUUAGAGAUUUCAUUAGGUACAUCUGAUGAUUAUGUUGACCAGCUGCUUGUAGCAGCCUAAACUAACUGCUUGUAUCUGCACAAGCUGGGGGGGGGGGGUCGCAUUCCUUCACAUUCCUUUGAAUGAUAUGCAAGCACUCCUGUCUCUUGGGCCUGGGUCUGCAUGUUUCCUGGCCGGUCCAGCCGUGCCUGGGGACAGUAAGAUCUCCAGAAUUCGUUCUUUCGUCUGAACUAACACGAUGGAUGCCGGCUUGAGUUGGGUUAGACUGUCCUGAAAAAUAACUUUUGUCCGAGAAAUACUCUUGCAAGGGAAAUGGGGCUUAAUGAAAAGUUGUUUCAGUUGUCACGUUAAAUCACGUUACUUUACCGUGUCUGAAAUGUUGGGGCAUGGCCUUGCACCUUGCUGUUAUCCAUGUGACCCGAUUGUUGUCUGGGACUUGUGUAGACGUGGGACCAGAAUCUUCUACCUUUAGAGGUGCAUGGACGACACUCCUUGGGUGUACCUGGUGACCCGUGUAGGGGUGAGACUGCUGUGGGGAAGACGGAGGAGUAGAAGCCAUUCGUAGAUGGAAGAUGGUUGUGUGUAUUCUGGAACUUCACUUCCCGUGGGACCGAGGAGAGCUGUGUUCUGUGGCAUAUUGUCUGGGCUGUGUUGCGCCACCUGCCAGGUGACUUUAUGUAGAUAACCUAGCCGACCUUGGAUGACAAAGAAGUUUGGAUAGGGAAUGACGGAGUACCAUCACUGUGGUAAUGUGUGCGUUCUGGAGUAUUGCAUCAAAGAGACCAUCUACAAAGGGUCUGGGGACACUGGAGAAAGGAAAAGGCAUCAUCACGGCCCAUCUAGUUGAUCAGGGUAGACCUCACCAGGACUGGAAGUCAAAAUCAGACAUGCAAUAAAUAAGAGUUCAUUUGCCUUGAAAAACAUAGAUCUCUAAAACUCCCCCCUCUUUUUUUUUUUUUUUCAAAUAAAUACGUUGUUCAAAUGGCCAAAGUCCCUGCAUGUGUUAAUACAUUUCUUUUGAAACGAACGUGCUUUUUUGAGCGCAGCCUCGGCAAGCAGGACCGAGCUGCUUGAAGUUUGAGGUUCUCUGUGAGCCUGGACCGGUGAGGGAGAAUCGCUUGUGGCCGGUGCUGUGGGGAUAAGAUGACAGGACAGUGAGCUCUUGACAGGGAUGAACUUGAGGCCAUCAUCUGGCCCGAGCCCCUGCUUUUCAGCAGCUGAGGUCUGUGUAGCCAGUGGGCGUGUAAUGUGCUUCCCAUCUGCUCCAGGGCACCAGGAAUGUGAAGGGAAGGCCUGGACCGGGACCAGCUGGGACAGGUAACUGCACCGCAGGGUGCCUGAGAGCAAAUGACUGUCCUUGAAUGCCGAGUACAACUUCUAAGAGUAGAAACCAGUGGGGGCAUCAGAAGCUCAGGAAGGGACUUGAGCUGCAGCACUGGGGAGUGACUGGGGGGCACUGCAGGGACCAGUAAAAGGGGGGAGCAGAGGAGAGAGGGCUUCAUUAGAGAACUGAUUCCUGUUCAUGAGCCUGUGCUAAUGGAUGCUCAAAGCCACAGGACAGGCAGGGUGCAAUUUCCAGAAUCGCUAGAGGUGGUUCGAUGAGAACACAUACAUGUUUAUAGUGACAAGCCGAGGUACAGGUCUGGGAAAAACGUGUGAAACAGGCAUUUUUAUAGGAAAGUACCUGGGCACAAAGGCAAGUCCUUUACAGAGGCUGUUUCGGUCUCUGGAAUCCUGGUCUGUGCUCCUGCCCUUCUGAAUUUCUCAGUGGGAACAGAGGUAGUGCCGGGAGCCAUUGAGACCGAGGAGCAAGGGAGCCUCAGGGGUCACGUUUGUAGCGCGGGAAGCUUGGUGAGGUCUGUGGGUCGGGGGAGGAGGCGGGGAGGCGAAGCAAGAAUGUGGGUGCUGGUGCGGGUGGGAGUUGAGGGUCUGUGCUUGAUCGGGUGUGGGAAGGACCGGCCAGCCUUUCCUGGGGUUGAGGCUCCGUGUCUCUCUGCAUCCGUCAACCCCAAAGUCUUUGUGGCUAUAGCCCCCAAGGUUUAUUUCUCGUUUCUGUUCAUAUACACUGCAGGUUAGUUUCCCCGUGUUCUCUUAAUUCCAGGAGCUGGCUGAAGGAGCACCCCUGUGGGGAUAUUAGGGACCUUGAUUCAGGAAACUUAGUUACAAGUUACUUACUGAUUUAAAAACAGAUGUUCUGGGGGUGCAAAACUCGUAUGCAUGUGUUUCCCCUUGAUUAACUGAUUAAUUGACCAUGGAUUGUAUUCCUCCGUUGGGGUUGCAUUUUAUCUACUCAGUCUUUUAUUUUGUUUUUUGUUUUUUUUAACGUUUAUUUAUUUUUGAGAGACAGAGACAGAACGCAAGCGGAGGAGGGGCAGAGAGAGAGGGAGACACAGAAUCCAAAGCAGGCUCCAGUCUCUGAGCUGUCAGCACAGAGCCCAGCGCGGGGCUGGAACUCGUGAACCGCGAGAUCACGACCUGAGCGGAAGUCAGACACUCAGCCGAGACACCCAGGCGCCCCUUAUGUGUUCAGUCUCGAUGCCAAGCCUCCUUCGUGGUCAGGGCCUUAAGAGUCUUCCGAAGCAUUUUUGACCCUUGGCCCUUCUGCGGAGCACUGUGGUGACGAGCUAGUGGUCCAACUCUUGCCUGAGGUGUGGUGGAAUUUGGAGGCGUCCAGGACUUUGUGUGUAUUUCCUAUUGUAACUCAUAAAUUCCCCCUCCCCCCCAGUUGGAUUAUGUAUCUGUGGAAUUGAAACGACUUCCGGGUCCCCUAGAAAAUUUGAAUUGCCUUCUGUCAGUUGCUCUGCAAUCGGCCCUUUGUGUCCAAACUCCCCUUGCUGUGAAGUCUGAAAUUCUAUGUUCUGUCCUCCUCUCCAGCCGUCAUUUGCAUCGGCUGGCUGGUGACGACUGAGUCUUCAAUAGUGUUUUGUGGCCAUACUUCUCGGGGUUUUGUUUCUUCCGAAAACAUCCGAGUGUCCAGUAUCCGUCCACAUGGCUCACUGGGCCACUUUUCAAAGUCUCUCCUUAAGCGUUAGCUUACCAGCGAGGCCCUCUUCUUCUUCCCGUUUAAAGCAGCACUGCCAAUCCCUGUCACUCUCUAUCCUCCUUCGUUUUUCUUCUCACUUGCCUGACAUGUGAUUACUAAUUUGUGUCUUGGCCACUUCUCCCCAUGGAAUGUCAGCCCCUGGAGGGCAGGAGAUUUUUGUUUUGGUUUCUUUGUUUUUUGUUUUGUUUUGUUUUUUUAGAGAGCACAAGCUGGGGAUUGUGCAGGGGAGAGGGGCACAGAGGGAGAGAGAGAGAGAGAGAGGGAGGGAGAGAGAAUCUUAAUCAGGCUCCACGCUCAGCUUGGAGCCCGAUGUGGGGCUUGAUCCCACGACCCUGUGAUCAUGAUCUGAGCUGAAAUCAAGAGUCUGAUGCUCACCCGACUGAGCCACCCAGGCGCCCCAGGAAUUUUUGUUUCCUGCUGAAUUCCUAGCACAGAGACCAGUGCUCGGCUGCCACAUGGUUGGUACACGAUACUCCUUGAAUGAAUGAGUACCAACUCAGUAUGUAAAUGUAACUUAAAUUUGUGUCUGCUUAUCAAUGCAGAGAACUCAAACCACAGAAACGUCAGUGUUAUUCUUGACUCCUCCCUCCUUCUCAGCGACGCCUUCCUCGCCCUAUCACUGAAGCACAUUGAUUCAACGUCCAGAAUGCACCUUUGAUUUGCCCACCCCCCUCCACCUGCCCCAGGCCACUAGAGCGAUGCUCUCCCAACUGGCCUCCCUCCUUCCAGCUUAACACCAAUCUUCCUCCUUCGCUGUCAGCUAAUGUGAAUUGGCUAUGUUGAUUCCCUGCUUAGAACCAUUUCAAAAAUUCAUUUUGCUGCAGAAGUCUUUAUUUACUUACCACUGUUACUUAGCUCCUGCUAUGUAUCAGGCACUGCUCUAGGCACUGGGGGAUGCAGCCGUGAAGAGGCAGUCCCAGAGUCCUGCCCCUAGUCAUUCUAGUGGUGGAGAUAACGGUAAACAGGGGAAAUCAAGUAGCUUGUUACCUAGAGAUGAGUGCCAAGGACCUUCAUUCAUUCAUUCAUUUGACUUGAGAAAUGAAAGCCCAGGAAGGAUUAGAAGUCCCCAAGCUGGUAGUCUGGGGGUCAGAGCCCAGUGGGGUAAGGAGAGCAUCCACGCAUGGGAACGAUGCAGUGCAGCUUGUCACAGCCUGAGAAGGGCAAGGAGGGCAUCCGUAGAGGAAGUCAGUCCUGUGAGGUGACUCAGCCCAAAGGGAGAGAAGGGUGUGCAUUCAGGGGGCAGACUGGCACAGGGACUGGAGGCCGAUCAGGGAAAAGGUUUCCAUGCAGGAGAGGGAGUGCCAGCAGAGGGAGAGAAAGAUGAAAAGAAAGAACACUAGAAUGAGCUCCAUGGUAUUGGGUUGAAAUUGGAGGUACCGGUGUAAACUCGUGGUUCUGUGUAUACAUUCUACGUUUAUAUAGAACCACAGAUGUGUGUGUAUAAUUUAUGUACACACUUACAAAUAUUCCCUAGUUCUGCCUGUUGGAAGCAGCUGGAAGCAGUGACAUCCCAAUAAUCUUGAGCACCCUGGCUCUCAGAUCUUGGCUUCUAAAUACCAUUUUCCACUAAAAGGGACCAGAACUUCAUGGAGAAAUGGUCAGUUCCAGAACUGGAGCAGGGAGGGCCCGAGAUGUGUGCAGACAUCUGGCUGAGACGGAAAGCAAGGGGGUGUUCAAACAAGGUUGGGGAUGAGUUAGAAGGACACAGAGGCCAGCUUGAAUGGAUGGGCCCCCCUGGCAGAUUGGAUACAGUGGGAUCAUCAGAACAAACAAUGGUGGCUAACGUUCACGGUGCAAUGAGGAAUAUGGGAAACCACGUAUUCACUUAAAUAUGAACACAUGAGCGAAUUACAUGCUUGACGAGGAACAGAACAUUUAUGUAGCUUCAAAGUACCUCACUACAAAAUGCUAACAAGUUACAAAGGUGGCAGGAAUAGCUAUAGUGGCGAAGGCUCUGAUUUGGGCAGUGGGAGCCCAUGCAAGGCUGCUUCUGCGUCCUUUUGACGUAUCCUGGUCAUUCUUUGAACACAUCCUUGCUUUCUGUUCUAGAUACAUCCUGUGCUUUCCUUUCCCCAACGCUGGGCCUGUGGCUGGCUGUUCCUUCAAUCACCAUCUUAAUCCAGUGAUCAAAGUGGACAUGACAAGAAAUGGGACAGACCGACACCGCGUGCCAUCUGAUAAGAUGCCGUGAGAAGAGCAUCGCGUCACUUCUGGGACAUUCUUGCCAAAGGUACACGACCCAGGCCCAGUCACGAGCAAACCUCAGACAACCUCAACUCGAAGGAAAUUCUGCAAAAUUAUUAGCUCGUAAUCCUCAAAAGUGUCAAGGUCAUGCAAGUCUGGGAAAGGCGGCGUAAAC